CCUACGGGAGGCAGCAGUGGGGAAUAUUGGACAAUGGGCGAAAGCCUGAUCCAGCAAUGCCGCGUGAGUGAUGAAGGCCUUAGGGUUGUAAAGCUCUUUUACCCGGGAUGAUAAUGACAGUACCGGGAGAAUAAGCCCCGGCUAACUCCGUGCCAGCAGCCGCGGUAAUACGGAGGGGGCUAGCGUUGUUCGGAAUUACUGGGCGUAAAGCGUGCGUAGGCGGUGAUUCAAGUCAGAGGUGAAAGCCUGGAGCUCAACUCCAGAACUGCCUUUGAAACUAGAUCGCUAGAAGAUGGGAGAGGUGAGUGGAAUUCCGAGUGUAGAGGUGAAAUUCGUAGAUAUUCGGAAGAACACCAGUGGCGAAGGCGGCUCACUGGACCAUUCUUGACGCUGAGGCACGAAAGCGUGGGGAGCAAACAGGAUUAGAUACCCUGGUAGUCCACGCUGUAAACGAUGAUACUAGUGUCAGUCGACANACUUAGUGAGCNNUACGACAUAGUAUCGUCGUGGAGUACGUCGCGAGAGUAAACUACUAAGUAAGUAGUUAGNGUGAGAGUGCGACGGCGACGACGAGGAGGAGG
rnacentral:rRNA from 1 species